rnacentral:rRNA from 1 species
UUAUAUAAGUUAUCGUUUAUUUGAUAGUGCCUUACUACUUGGAUAACCGUGGUAAUUCUAGAGCUAAUACAUGCUAAAAGACCCGACUUUGGAAGGGUUGUAUUUAUUAGAUUAAAAACCAAUGCCCUCUGGGCUCACUGGUGAAUCAUGAUAACUUCGCGAAUCGCAUGGCCUUGUGCCGGCGAUGGCUCAUUCAAAUUUCUUCCCUAUCAACUUUCGAUGUUUGGGUAGUGGCCAAACAUGGUUGCAACGGGUAACGGAGGGUUAGGGCUCGACCCCGGAGAAGGAGCCUGAGAAACGGCUACUACAUCCAAGGAAGGCAGCAGGCGCGCAAAUUACCCAAUCCCGAUUCGGGGAGGUAGUGACAAUAAAUACUGAUACAGGGCUCUUUUGGGUCUUGUAAUUGGAAUGAGUACAAUUUAAAUCCCUUAACGAGGAACAAUUAGAGGGCAAGUCUGGUGCCAGCAGCCGCGGUAAUUCCAGCUCUAAUAGCGUAUAUUAAAGUUGUUGUGGUUAAAAAGCUCGUAGUUGAACCUUGGGCCUGGCUGGCGGGUCCGCCUCACCGCGUGUACUUCGCCGGCCGGGCCUUUCCCUCUGUGGAACCCUAUGCCCUUCACUGGGUGUGGUGGGGAAACAGGACUUUUACUUUGAAAAAAUUAGAGUGCUCCAGGCAGGCCUAUGCUCGAAUAUAUUAGCAUGGAAUAAUAAAAUAGGACGUGUGGUUCUAUUUUGUUGGUUUCUAGGACCGCCGUAAUGAUUAAUAGGGACAGCCGGGGGCAUCAGUAUUCAAUUGUCAGAGGUGAAAUUCUUGGAUUUAUUGAAGACUAACUACUGCGAAAGCAUUUGCCAAGAAUGUUUUCAUUAAUCAGGAACGAAAGUUAGGGGAUCGAAGACGAUCAGAUACCGUCGUAGUCUUAACCAUAAACUAUGCCGACUAGGGAUCGGACGAUGUUAUUACUUGACUCGUUCGGCACC